GUAUCUUGAGCUGACCUCCUAUCUCAUCCUGUGACUAAGAAUGCCUGACCUCCUUGGAAUGCAGCCCAGCAGGUCUUAGCCCCAUUUCAACCAGCCCCUUUUCAAGAUGGAGUCACUCUGGUUCAAAUGCCUCUGACACUAGCAAGAACAAAUUUCAAUGAAGCAUUGAGUCAAUGGCAGUUUAUCAUUCCUUGUAACAUUCAAGUAGAUAAUUUUGGAAGUGGAUGCUUUAGUCUACUCUGUUUACUCAAAACAUACUUCCUGGGAAGUUCAAACUGAUAUACUUUUGUCUCAAUAAAUUCUCUUGUGGGGCAAAUCCACCUGAAAUGAUUGCCUUGUCCUUUGAGUUCCAAUUUUGAAAACUUCUCAAAACAUAUCAUUGCUGUAUGGAGAUACUUGAAUUCCUCAACGCAGGCCCCAUUUUGAUCUUUUCUUCGUUCCAUCGAGGAAAUCUUAAAGACACAUAAGCUCAGUGUGGCACUCCAGCUUCAUUUAUCACCGAGAGCUCAGCGUGGCUGUGGCUGUCAACUAAAGGAUACUUAAAGCCUUAGAAGUCAGUCUCGACUCAAGGAUGCAACUUCCUUCCUAUAACUCCAGCCCUGCUCUGUGUUUUAUGGACCAGGUCUCUUGGCACCAGGUGCUUAUUGAAAAUGCAGACUCCAGAACCCACUCCAGGACUCCCGAAUCACAGAAUUUUCACAAGCUCCCUAGGGUCGUGGUUCCUGAGGAGGAGAACUGCAGUUUCAGCAUUGCCUCCACAUUCAGCAUGGGGUGCUCAGAACCUUCCAAUAUGCGAGGCAGGCUAGUCAAUUAGGGGAGAAAGCUUAUCUCUUUAAAGCAAGUUAAGUGAAUGUUUGUUUCUUUAAAAAAAAAAUCAAACUGCCAAACUAUUUUCUGAGUGGCUGUACCAUUCUACGCUUCCACCAGCAAUGAAGAGUAAUCCAAUUUCGCCACAUUCCCACCAACAUUUAAAACUGUGGGGAUUCUGAUAGGUUUGUAGUGAUGUCUCAUUACGGUUUUUGGUUUUCUGGGUUUUGGUUUUGGUUUUUGAGACAAGGUCUUGCUCUGUCUCCUAGGCUGGAGUGCAGGGGUACAAUCUCAGCACGCGAUAGCCUCCACCGCCCGAGCUCAAGUGAUCCUGCCAACACAGUCUCCUGAGUAGCUGGGACUAUA
rnacentral:lncRNA from 1 species